rnacentral:piRNA from 1 species
UNCCAGGUAAACACAGGAUGCAGACGGUGUUA